rnacentral:rRNA from 2 species
CCGGGUUGCGGACAGUGUCUGGUGGGUAGUUUGACUGGGGCGGUCUCCUCCUAAAGAGUAACGGAGGAGCACGAAGGUUAGCUAAUCCUGGUCGGACAUCAGGAGGUUAGUGCAAAGGCAUAAGCUAGCUUGACUGCGAGAGUGACGGCUCGAGCAGGUGCGAAAGCAGGUCUUAGUGAUCCGGUGGUUCUGAAUGGAAGGGCCAUCGCUCAACGGAUAAAAGGUACUCCGGGGAUAACAGGCUGAUACCGCCCAAGAGUUCAUAUCGACGGCGGUGUUUGGCACCUCGAUGUCGGCUCAUCACAUCCUGGGGCUGAAGUAGGUCCCAAGGGUAUGGCUGUUCGCCAUUUAAAGUGGUACGCGAGCUGGGUUUAGAACGUCGUGAGACAGUUCGGUCCCUAUCUGCCGUGGGCGCUGGAGAAUUGAGGGGGGCUGCUCCUAGUACGAGAGGACCGGAGUGGACGCAUCACUGGUGUUCGGGUUGUCAUGCCAAUGGCAUUGCCCGGUAGCUAAAUGCGGAAGAGAUAAGUGCUGAAAGCAUCUAAGCACGAAACUUGCCCCGAGAUGAGUUCUCCCUGAGACU